rnacentral:misc_RNA from 1 species
AACGCACAUUGCGCCCGCCAGUAUUCUGGCGGGCAUGCCUGUUCGAGCGUCAUUUCAACCCUCAAGCCCCAGGCUUGGUGUUGGGGUCCUACGGCUGCCGUAGGCCCUGAAAGAAAGUGGCGGGCUCGCUAUCAACUCCGAGCGUAGUAGUAACAUAUCUCGCUAGGGAGUCGUCGCGGGUUCCGGCCGUGAAAGCCCCAUCUUUUACACAAGGUUGACCUCGGAUCAGGUAGGAAUACCCGCUGAACUUAA